UACGAAGGGGGCUAGCGUUGUUCGGAUUUACUGGGCGUAAAGCGCACGUAGGCGGAUCUUUAAGUCAGGGGUGAAAUCCCGAGGCUCAACCUCGGAACUGCCUUUGAUACUGGAGAUCUUGAGUUCGGGAGAGGUGAGUGGAACUGCGAGUGUAGAGGUGAAAUUCGUAGAUAUUCGCAAGAACACCAGUGGCGAAGGCGGCUCACUGGCCCGGUACUGACGCUGAGGUGCGAAAGCGUGGGGAGCAAACAGG
rnacentral:rRNA from 1 species